rnacentral:piRNA from 1 species
ACCACUGACUCUGUCAGAGAAGC